rnacentral:rRNA from 1 species
UACGUAGGUGGCGAGCGUUGUCCGGAAUUACUGGGUGUAAAGCGCGUGUAGGCGGGAGGCCAAGUCUGCGGUGAAAUCGCUCGGCUCAACUGGGCGGGGUCAGCGGAUACGGCGUGGCUGGAGCAAGCUAGGGGGCAAUGGAAUUCCCGGUGUAGUGGUGGAAUGCGUAGAUAUCGGGAGGAACACCAGUGGCGAAGGCGGUUGCCUGGAGCUUUGCUGACGCUGAGGCGCGAAAGCGUGGGGAGCGAUCCGG